AAAUCCAUACCGGAUGUUGAGGUAGGCUCAGUAGAUGCGAUCAGAGUUGUGCCUCAGGCGUUCCUCACAUCUUCUUGCCUAACUCGCCUUCCUUUAUGUUUAACCUUUUUUCU
rnacentral:pre_miRNA from 14 species